AGCAGGGGGCGAUGCCAAGGGCGUGGAGCAGGGGAUUCACAAGCAGAUGCAUAUCAUCAGCAACCCCUGAGACCUCGUGCAACAUCAAGAUGCUGGUGUCCUGCCUCCAUUUGUUCGCCACGGUCGCUGCCUCAUGUCAGGUAUUGCGCGCAGGUAUAUGGCGAGGACACAAAUUUGGGUGUCCAGCUCCUUGCCUGCAUGUGCAAAGAAUUCAGAACCUGCAGUGCAGCAGAUGAAGCCAACGCGGACGAUGAUUAACUUCUCUGACCUUAUGGUAGGUUGAAUCUGAAUCACAUUGAUGGGUGAACUUCCUUGUAGUCCCUUUUCCUGAAACUAUAAGACAAUGGCUUAGCCUGAUGUUUUGGUAGUUGUGUAAGCUGAAACAUGAUGCUAAGCCGAACAAUUUAUUGUCGUUUUUUCGCAUGAGAUCACAUUUUGGUAGUUGCGAAGCCUAAACCAUGAUGCUUUCUUGCUGCUGUUGUAGCCUCUAAUGAAAUUGUGAGAUAAUGUAGUUAAGCUAAAUUUCUUCUGUUUCAAUAAGAUAGAUGUUGGUAGUUGCGUAAGUUGGCAGUGGUGGCUUUGAUAUAUGAUCUGCCUCGACUCGGGUCUCCUCCAGUCAGCGCCUAUUCGGCGACGGCGACAGCGAGAGGAGAUGAAGUGGAGGCAACUCGAGGGCCUCCUAGGGGGCCUGGUCCAGUUCUCCCCCGCCGCCUCCUUUGCUCGAUUUGGCGUCCAAAAAAGGUGAGUAAUGCGACGAGUAAUUUAUAUGAACUUUGUUAUGCUCUCGAUUGAUUCUGCUGCCUUUUGCUGCUUUGGGUGCCUGUUGUGGCGUGAGUGGGAUUCGGUUCCACGCCAAAUCAAGCAGUCUACUCUGGCUGAGUAGACUAGCAGGUCCAUCCAUCCAUGUACGCCUUUCUUUGUACGCCUGAAUUUUUUCAAGGGAUCGGUGGCAGCGAGAUCCGCAAGGAGAACGAGGUGGCGCCGCAAGAUGGCAAGAACGGUGCGGCAGCGGGGUGGGCAAGAAGAUGAGGGUAUUUAGGAGAGGGUGGAGGCAACGACAGUUUGCAGCAAAUAAAUUAAUGUCCAUCAUUGGUUGCAGGUGUCAGGAUAACUAGCUACAGGUCAUGUUCCAGAAUCCCCCUUCCAACCUUCUCUCCCCAUAGAUUGAAUAUACUCCCUCGGUUAAUUCUUUUUAUCUGCUAAUUUUUUCACAAUUUCUUAUUCCCUUCGUUAAUUUGUAGGAGGAAAAUUGUGCUGACGAUCUUUUCUAUACUCUCUGGAUUUAUGGUUUAUUCAUGGAAAGGGUGUAAAAUAAUGGGCAAUGGUAAUUAUUUUGUUCCUGUGAAGCUCCAGGUUUGGCUGAUUGCUCGGAUGAUGAGUAUCAUAACCCACACAAGAAAUAUAGAAAAGGUAAAGCGAAGACACAGUCCAUUUGGUUUGUCAUUUUGAAGGCACAGAUAGAAACAAGAACACCAUAUAUGUUCUAUAAGGAGGAGCUUUGAAAGUUUGUCAGGGCGGAGAAGAUGGUUCUCAAGACAGAGCUCUGCCGUUUCAGUGGUGCCAAGAUAUACCCGGGGAAUGCAUCAGAUUCGUCCAUUCAGACUCUCGAUAUAUUCGUGUUGAGGCUGCAAAGAAGAGGCACCGCGCCAUCAAGAGUCUUUAUGGUCUCGCUGUUCAUCGCCUUUGGAUGCGCCAUUGAUGACCAUAACCACAGUCCAUGCAUAGAAUCCAUGUGUCGUGUUUCCUGUUUCUCUAAGACCUUGUAGUUCUGCCGAAUGAUGUGAGGAAAUAUGCCUCUGCUUUAUCAUCUAUAUCAUCGUUCAUGUAACCUCUAAGAAUCUGGUCUUUGAAUGUGUUGCAUUCACACAA